rnacentral:rRNA from 1 species
UACGGAGGAUGCGAGCGUUAUCCGGAUUUAUUGGGUUUAAAGGGUGCGUAGGCGGGUUAUCAAGUCAGCGGUAAAAUCGUGGAGCUCAACUCCAUCCAGCCGUUGAAACUGAUGAUCUUGAGUGGGCGAGAAGUAUGCGGAAUGCGUGGUGUAGCGGUGAAAUGCAUAGAUAUAUGGAGGAACACCAGUGGCGAAGGCGGCCUGCUGGACGACAACUGACGGUGAGGCGCGAAAGCGUGGGGAGCAAACAGG